GAGAAAGAGACUUUGGAGUUCUCCUUUUUGUAUCCAUGGCACCAGAUAGGCCUUUUCAUCUUGCCCUUAACUCUUGUACCUGUAGGAGGAGCGUUUGACUCACCAGACUGGUUGAAUCGCACCCAGCAACAGGAGCAGUCCCAUCCAGUCUCUGCAGAGCCCUCCUGUUCUCCACCCCAGGGAACAAUGAAGAGUUCAAGUUCACAAUAAGAACACCUAACAUUUACGUAGCUUUUGAACACUUCACAUGCAUUACCCUGUUGUGAUCCUUGCAAUGCCUCUCUAAGGGCGAAGAGCAGCAAGUGCAGGGGUGUGAACUGGACAGGAUAAAUGGGAGUGGGGAAGGUUAAGCAUCCUCUCCCCCUCCUCCAGCAUGACUGCUCCAGUCAAAACUUGAUACACACACACCCCAUGGUUGC